AUACACCUUUUUCGGUUGUAGUUCGCCAUUAAACCAACAGAAGAAGAGGAGUCACAGAAAUGAUGGCGAACAAAACCUGUCCUGUGGCUCCCUCUCCUGGAUCAAGAGAGAACGACUCAAUCUUCAUGCCGMCCACAACACGGCUCAUAUCAAGGUUGACAGUUAUCACGGGCUACAUUUCUCCUGACUCAGGCUGUUGGAAAGGCUCUGGUUGCCAGUGGAGCUCCUAAACGCUCCAUCAUUACUGUGGGCAAGGUGGGCAAUAUUGAAAAGGCGAACUACUCUGCUUCCAAAGCAGUUGUGGAGGGCCUGACCAGAACUGCAGCCAACUAGCUGAGCAGCUUACGUCCAUGGUGCCACUGGGGAGGAUGGGAGAGCCUGCAGAGGAAGCUGAUGGAUCCUAAUGCAUAUUUCCAGUAGAGGACUCUGGCUACAUCACUGGAACCAGUAUUGAAGUAACAGAGGCCUUUUCAUUGGCUGAGACAACUUUCCAUCAUCCUCAUGAAGAUCCCAUCUAGGUCCAGUAAUUGUAUAUUGAUUCAACGUUCACACUGUGCCUUCGCGUGUGAUAAUACAACUGAUUGGGGAUUAAUCUUGUUUUGUAAAUCUAGUCAAUAUCUUACAGUGUAAAU